rnacentral:lncRNA from 1 species
UCUGCCUUGCAGCAUAAGGUCCCAGGUUCAACGUGCAACGGAAAGACUCCCUGCUUGACACCCUGGAGAGCCAUUGCCUGUCAGUGUAGACAAUACUGGGCUCUAGAUCAGGGGUCAGCAAACUUUUACAGCAGGGGGCCGGUCCACUGUCCCUCAGACCUUGUGGGGGGCUGGCUAUAUUUGGGGGUGGUGGUGAAUGAAUUCCUAUGCCCCACAAAUAACCCAGAGAUGCAUUUUAAAUAAAAGGAGACAUUCUACUCCUGUAAAAACACGCCAAUUCCUGGACCGUCUGUGGGAAGGCAAUUGGGCUGGAUCCGGCCCCCGGGCCUUAGUUUGCCUACCCCUGCUCUAGAUGGACCAGGGCUCUGACGUGGUGCAAGGGAGCGCCCUAUGUGCCAUCCCAAUCUCCCUUCCUCCACCACCAUGAAUUUUAUUGUGUUUCUUGGUGCAUUUUGUCCCAUCAAAAUGUUUUAUUUUUUAAAGUAGAUUUGUUGUGCCAGAACACUUUAGGCAUGAGCCUCGAUUCCAUGGGUUCCUGCAAAACAGUGGCAGCCUGGUGGGGGCCGCACUCAGCCUUCAAAAGCAGCAGCUCCAGGCCUCCUUGCAAGGCCCUUUCAAAGGAGGCUUGUCCCAGGAGGGUCCUUCAACUGCCAGCCCCCUCCAAACAUCACCAAGGACCAUCCUUGGUCCAACAGGUCCAGCACUGACUGUUUGGCAAACUCUGCUCAGGAAUCACAGAAUCAGAGUUGGAAGGGAAUGCAUGCAGGAGACCCAUGGCUCACUUGAGAUGCACCCAGAGAGGCUUGUGGGGGUCUGUGGGGCUGGCCGGUCGGCCUGAGGUGCCGGCCAGGGAGAUGAGGUGAGCGGCUUCUUCUCUUUUCUUCUCCACAGGCAUGUGAGGAGCGCUGCUGCCUCCUCCUCCUCCCCCCCUUGCUGAAGGCCCUGAGAUGCCCCAGUGGACAGCCGUCGCCCGCCUGCUCCUGCGCUGCCGACUGAGCCUUUGCUUCCUCCUGCAGACUCCCCUCUCUCCACCCCCUUGUGCUUUUCACGCCACCUUUCCUGCCGCGGCUGGCCACAGGAUACGCUUGGGGGUGCCGCCCCCGGUCCGCACUGAGCCCCCCAGCCUCCUCCUCCUCUUCUCCAGCCAUGCCCACCGGCCUGGGCUGCUCCUCGGACACGGAGGCUCAAGGACUGGGGCUUUUUCUAGAGCCUUGGAGUUGAAAGGGACCCCAGGGCCAUGCAGCCUGACUCUUGUGCUCAAACGCAGGAACCUGCCCACUGCCCCAGGUGUGCCAGGCUGCAAGGGGCGGGGCACAAGCCAAAGCUCCAGUCAGAGAGCCAAGCCACACGCUGCCUGCCUGCACACAGGAACCCAAAUGAAGGUGUCCUAGAGGAAAAGGCCUCUCCCUGCCCGCUGCCAAGCAACCAAGCCUGGUCAUUAGCUGAGCAAAACCUGGGACAGCAGCUUUGACCCGCUGCUCUCUGGUGUCCUGCUUCCAGCUGCAGGAGCCUCCUCCCCAGGCUUCGCUUCCGGAUCCUAGGCAGCUAGUCCCAGCCGCGUGUUGGGUCUCAGGGUACCCCAGGUCCCUCUCAC